AGGUCGUUCAUCCAUUCAACACAACUGUAGUAUCCGUUCAACACAACUGCAGUAUCCGUUCAACACAACUGCAGUAUCAGUUCAACACAACUGCAUUUACAUACGGAUGAAAUGGCCACUGCAUUUACAUACGGAUGAAAUGACCUCUGUUCCGCGCAACUGCAGUAUCCGUUCAACACAACUGCAGUAUCCGUUCAACACAACUGCAGUAUCCGUUCAACACAACUGCAGUAUCAGUUCAACACAACUGCAGUAUCAGCCAUGACCUAUGACCAUGGUCCAUGGUAUAAGAACUGGGAAGAGAGUCUGCUAGAAUUGUUGUCUUUUCGCUGAAUUCUUGAUUUUCAAAAAUCUAUGGCUAUCUUGAAUCUUCUAGGGUUUACACAUAUUUUUCUACAUCUCGUAGUUGAAGACAUAUAUGUAAUUAGAUUAGUUCUAAUUUUUUACUCAUUUUUGCAAAGGUUGUCGCCUCAUCGAAGCCGUUAAAAAUACUAACAGCACGUUUGGUUCACGGGAUGAAUUUGAAGGGAAUAUGAAUAGUAUUCCACAAGGAAUGAAAUAGGCAACACAAAUGGGCUACGUUAAGCUUGAUCAAGAUCCAAAUUUUCACGCGGAGUUUGGUCCCCCAAAAUUUGCAUGAGAUUUCUUUCAUGAGUUUUAUUGUGCAGAAAUUUGUACAAUAAUUUUCUAAACAUCCUACUAGCUACUGUCAACACCGAGCCAUCAAUGAUGAGAGCAACUGUCAACUAAAAUUUAAUUUCUAUAGGAAAAAUUCUUCUUUGAAA